rnacentral:misc_RNA from 1 species
UUGAAUAAACUUGGUGGGUUGUUGCUGGCUUUUAGGAGCAUGUGCACGCCUAUCAUCUUUAUCCAUCCACCUGUGCACCCUUUGUAGUUUUGGAAGGAAUAUGAGCGUUUAUAGGGUCUGCCACACGCUGACCUUGAUUGCUUGCGCGAGUUUCUCCAACUCUAUGUCUUUCAUAUAUCACACACAAUGUAUUAGAAUGUUAUCAUUAGGUCUUUGUACCUAUAAAAUGCAAUA